UACGAAGGGGGCGAGCGUUGUUCGGAUUUACUGGGCGUAAAGGGCGCGCAGGCGGCCAUUCAAGUCAGGCGUGAAAGCCCCGGGCUUAACCUGGGAGGUGCGUCUGGGACUGGGUGGCUGGAGAUCGGGAGAGGAGAGUGGAAUUCCCAGUGUAGAGGUGAAAUUCGUAGGUAUUGGGAAGAACACCGGUGGCGAAGGCGGCUCUCUGGACCGGUACUGACGCUGAGGUGCGAAAGCGUGGGGAGCAAACAGG
rnacentral:rRNA from 1 species